UACGAACUGUGCAAACGUUGCUCGGAAUUAUUGGGCGUAAAGCGCACGUAGGCGGCUUGGCAAGUCGGAUGUGAAAUCCCCGAGCUCAACUCGGGAACUGCGUCCGAUACUGGUGGGCUUGAAUCCGGGAGAGGGAUGCGGAAUUCCAGGUGUAGCGGUGAAAUGCGUAGAUAUCUGGAGGAACACCGGUGGCGAAGGCGGCAUCCUGGACCGGCAUUGACGCUGAGGCGCGAAAGCUAGGGGAGCAAACGGG
rnacentral:rRNA from 1 species